UACGUAGGCAGCGAGCGUUGUUCGGAGUUACUGGGCGUAAAGGGUGUGUAGGCGGUUGUUUAAGUUUGGUGUGAAAUCUCCCGGCUCAACUGGGAGGGUGCGCCGAAUACUGAAUGACUUCGAGUGCGGGAGAGGAAAGUGGAAUUCCCGGUGUAGCGGUGAAAUGCGCAGAUAUCGGGAGGAACACCAAUGGCGAAGGCAGCUCGCUGGGACGGUACUGACGCUGAGGCGCGAAAGCGUGGGGAGCAAACAGG
rnacentral:rRNA from 1 species